GUUCUUGCAGCCCUGUUUUUCCUGUCACCAUGCAGCAGCUAUCUAAGAAGUGAAGUUUUGAGGUUAUCCUUGUAUGUUUCAAAGUAUUUUAUGAUUUAUUGCUCAUUUUAUUAAAUCCAAGUUAGAUAUUUUAGUCGUUUCUUCCAUAAUGGAUGAAGAUGAAAUUGGAAGUGAUAAAAGCUCAUCCGACCUAUUCUCUUGCGAUGAUUCUGAUGAAUUUAUUCCACCAACAUCAUCUUCUGAUGAAGAAUGCUUUAGUAUUUUUACUAACAAGAGGAAGAAAAGAGAGAAUCUUGCAAAACCAAUUUGUAGGAGAAGAUUGUGUUCUAGCCCAGCUGCUCUUUGAAAUACUUCCAAUGUCAAUUUGGAAGGAACAGAGAUCAUUGAUUUACCUAGUGCAAGUCAAGAUAACUUAAAUCCCGGUACAACAACUGGAGGAGAGGAAAUUCGGAAUAUUGGAAUGAAUCGUCAAGAGAAUCACUUGGUAGCUACAGAACCAAUCACAACCAAGAAAAACGUCCGGAAGCGACUCCCAAACCCAUCAACUUGGAAAUCAAAUAUGAGGAAAAAUGCACAUCAAUCAGGGAAAAAGUAUGUGAGCCGCAGAGGUAAGGUAGUCGAAAAAAAA